AUUGAACGCUGGCGGCAUGCCUUACACAUGCAAGUCGAACGGCAGCACGGGUGCCUGCACCUGGUGGCGAGUGGCGAACGGGUGAGUAAUACAUCGGAACAUGUCCUGUAGUGGGGGAUAGCCCGGCGAAAGCCGGAUUAAUACCGCAUACGAUCUACGGAUGAAAGCGGGGGACCUUCGGGCCUCGCGCUAUAGGGUUGGCCGAUGGCUGAUUAGCUAGUUGGUGGGGUAAAGGCCUACCAAGGCGACGAUCAGUAGCUGGUCUGAGAGGACGACCAGCCACACUGGGACUGAGACACGGCCCAGACUCCUACGGGAGGCAGCAGUGGGGAAUUUUGGACAAAGGGCGAAAGCCUGAUCCAGCAAUGCCGCGUGUGUGAAGAAGGCCUUCGGGUUGUAAAGCACUUUUGUCCGGAAAGAAAUCCUUGGCUCUAAUACAGUCGGGGGAUGACGGUACCGGAAGAAUAAGCACCGGCUAACUACGUG
rnacentral:rRNA from 1 species